GGAAGCGCUGGGGGUCGCGUGCCCUUGGCCGGAGGCCUGGUCACCCGCAGGCCCUGCCAUCCUCGGCUUGGCCGCUGCUGCCCGCGCGCCUGUGGCGGAGCGAGCCUGCCUCCAGGGCAGCCUCACUGCCUGGAUCCUGGGCAGGAGACCUCCCAGGUGAAGAGCCUCCAGUGCCAGGACCAAUAUGGCAGAUGUUAGGAACAGUGGACUGACCUGCUUUCCAAUGCUUGCUGAAAAGUCACCUGGCAGCAAGAGUUAACCAGUGUUGGUUCCUGUUGUUUACAACCAAGAAUCCUGAGAAGUUCAUAUGUAGCCCACACAUAAGCUGAAGUAUUGCCUUAUGACAUAUUCUGAAUAUUCCAAUUAUUUUGCAA
rnacentral:lncRNA from 1 species